rnacentral:rRNA from 1 species
UACGUAGGGUGCGAGCGUUGUCCGGAUUUAUUGGACGUAAAGGGCUCGUAGGCGGCGUGUCGCGUCGGGAGUGAAAGCCCGUUGCUUAACGGCGGGUUGGCUUUCGGUACGGGCAUGCUGGAGUGCGGCAGGGGAGACUGGAAUUCCUGGUGUAGCGGUGGAAUGCGCAGAUAUCAGGAGGAACACCGGUGGCGAAGGCGGGUCUCUGGGCAGUAACUGACGCUGAGGAGCGAAAGCGUGGGGAGCGAACAGG